rnacentral:rRNA from 1 species
AUGGCUCGACACAUGGCGCCGCACACGUUGGGGGCCCUGAUGGGUAGGCCAGCACCCUUCAGCAACGGUGGCACACGAUCUGGCUCUGGAUACCUGCAAUCGAAGCAGAUAAGAAAGAGGAGCAACGGCGUAACGGGCAAGGCAUUCGAGGUUGCGUCAACACAGUACCAGCAAUCAACGAAAUCUACCAAAACUAAAUCUGAUCGUCUGUCCGACCAACGACCCGACAUCGCUGGCCAUACCCCACGGCCAACACUAUACAAAAACUAUCAGCACACAUGCAGCAGGCAAAAACAAAAUCCAAGAGGGCAUGCAAUCAAUUAA